rnacentral:rRNA from 1 species
GGGGUCUGCGUCCUAUUAGCUAGUUGGUAGGGUAACGGCCUACCAAGGCCAAGAUGGGUAGCGGGUGUGAGAGCACGACCCGCAUCACUGGGACUGAGACACUGCCCAGACACCUACGGGUGGCUGCAGUCGAGAAUCUUCGGCAAUGGGCGAAAGCCUGACCGAGCGACGCCGCGUGUGGGGUGAAGGCCUUCGGGUUGUAAACCGCUGUCAGUGGGGAGGAAAUGCUGGUGGGUUCUCCCAUCAGUUUGACCUAUCUGAAAGAGGAAGGGACGGCUAACUCUGUGCCAGCAGCCGCGGUAAUACAGAGGUCCCAAGCGUUGUUCGGAUUCACUGGGCGUAAAGGGUGCGUAGGCGGUGAGAAAAGUUUGGUGUGAAAGCUUCGAGCCUAACUCGAAAAUGGCAUCAAAAACUUUCUUGCUCGAGGGUUGGAGGGGAGACUGGAAUUCUCGGUGUAGCGGUGAAAUGCGUAGAUAUCGAGAGGAACACCAGUGGCGAAGGCGAGUCUCUGGACAACUCCUGACACUGAGGCACGAAAGCUAGGGGAGCGAACAGGAUUAGAUACCCUGGUAGUCCUAGCUGUAAACGGUGCACAUUUGCCGUGAGCGGAAUCGACCCCGUUCGUGGCGAAGCUAACGCGUUAAAUGUGCCGCCUGGGGAGUACGGUCGCAAGAUUAAAACUCAAAGAAAUUGACGGGGGCCUGCACAAGCGGUAGAGUAUGUGGCUUAAUUCGAUGCAACGCGAAGAACCUUACCUGGCCUUGACAUGCAAGUAGUAGAAGGAUGAAAGUCUGACGACCCCGCAAGGGGAGCUUGCACAGGUGCUGCAUGGCUGUCGUCAGCUCGUGUCGUGAGAUGUUGGGUUAAGUCCCGCAACGAGCGCAACCCCCGUGUCCUGUUGCCACUCCCGCGAGAGCGGGAAGCACUCUGGACAGACUGCCUCGUCUUAACGAGGAGGAAGGUGGGGAUGACGUCAAGUCAGGAUGGCCCUUACGGCCAGGGCCGCACACGUACUACAAUGCCCGGCACAGAGGGAAGCAAGACCGCAAGGUGGAGCAAAUCCCAAAAAACCGGGCUCAGUUCAGAUUGUCGGCUGCAAUUCGCCGGCAUGAAGCUGGAAUCGCUAGUAAUGGCGCAUCAGCUACGGCGCCGUGAAUACGUUCCCAGGCCUUGUACACACCGCCCGUCACAUCAUGAAAGCCGUUUGUACCCGAAGUCAGUGCGCCAACCGCAAGGAAGCAGCUGCCGAAGGUAUGGACGGUGAUUGGGAUGAAGUCGUAACAAGGUA